ACCAGCCGAUAAUAUUCUUAACAAAAAUAUAUUUUUUUAUUAGUAAUUAACAAUGAGCGCAUGAGAAUACAACGUUGAAAAGAUUCGUGAUUCGUUAUAGAAGCGAUUAUUUCUUAAAAUUGUAUUUUUUCAAAAAUAAUAGAGAAAAGUUAACGCCAUUAAAAUAAAUUACUAGUUAUAAAAACAAAUUUUGCCCAGAAUUGCUCUAAGAAAAUACCAAUAUAAAAAACAGUGCUUCUUCUGGGAGAAAUCAAAAAAAGGAAGAAAAAUAAGAAUAAAACGAAAUCAAAGUGCUUUAAAAUAACCAACAACAACAAUAACUACCAAGAGCAGUAUUUCGUCGUCGUUUCCUUGUCCAUAAUAUAAAAAUAACAAAGAAGAAGAAUACAUAUAAUAAAUAUAAAAAAACGAGGAAAAAUAUAAAAAUAAGAAAAUAUUUUUGUCUUCCUGCUUCAUAAAAAAAGAAAGAAUUACGUACCUAAAAAAAGUUUUCUCUUGCUGGUUUCUUGUUGCAAUUUACUUGAAAUAAAUCCAACAGAAUUUACAAGAAAAUUUUUACGAAAAGAAAAAUAAUUUUUAGAAAAAUUGUGCAAUUGUUUUUUUUUGUUGUUUUUGUGUAAAACAGAAGAAAAUUAAAUUAGAAAAAUAUAAAAAAAAACACCAGUGAAAAAUUAUUAUUAACGAAACCAAAAAAAUUGGUAUUAACGAAACAGGAGGGUUGGUGGGUCUCAAUACGUCUGCCUAAAAUAAGCUUUCAAAUGUAUUGAUAAUCGAAACAAAUAGAAAUAACACAAUAAUAUCAACGAUUCUUUUUAUUUUAAAGAAAAAAAAAAGAUAACGCAAAUUCCCCAUUUUAAUUUGAAAGCAUCAACAUCAUCAUCAUCAUCGAUAAUAACAUCAUCAACACCAACAAAAGAACAAAGGAAUAUCAUAAUUAUUAUUAUUGUUUUUGUUGCUGAAUAAUUAUAAAGCAGCAGCAGCAACAGAACAAUACAAAAGUAACAAAAAACAACAUAUAGAAUAGAACAGAGAAGACAAGUACCACUUAACCACAAAAAGAUAUUCCAAAAUAUAUAAUUGCCAUGGAUCUUUCAUAUAUUGUAUGUAAUGCAGCCAGAGAAAAUAAUUUAACUCUACUGAAGAAUGCUCUCAAUGGCAGAUCAGCUUCAGAGAUUGCAAUGCUUAUAUCAUCAAAAGUUAACGGGGCCACACCCCUGGUUAUAUCCUGCCGCAAUGGACACAGUGAAAUUGUAGAAUAUUUAUUGACAUGGUGUCAAGCUGAUGUUGAACAGGUCGGCUCCGUUAGUUUUGAUGGUGAACCAAUUGAAGAUGCUCCCCCACUCUGGUGUGCUUCGGCUGCCGGUCAUUUGGGCAUAGUAAAGUUAUUAGUAAGACAUGGCGCUAAUGUUAAUAGUACAACACGUACAAAUUCAACACCCUUAAGAGCGGCCUGCUUUGAUGGUCACUUUGAAAUAGUUAAAUUUUUAAUACACAAUGGAGCUGACUUUGAGGUAGCGAAUCGUCAUGGCCAUACUUGUUUAAUGAUUGCCUGCUAUAAGGGACAUUUUAAAAUUGCCCAGUAUUUAUUAUCGUUAAAUGCGAAUGUGAAUCGUUGCAGUGUUAAGGGUAAUACCGCCCUGCACGAUUGUGCCGAAUCGGGUUCUUUGGAAAUUUUACAGUUGCUCUUGAAGCAUGGUGCCACAAUGGAGGUAGAUUAUUAUGGCAUGACACCACUGCUGGCAGCUAGUGUUACAGGUCAUUUGCCGAUUGUAGAACAUCUUAUCACAUUGCCCAGUGUUAGUCGUGAAAGUCGUAUUGAUGCUUUAGAACUAUUGGGUGCCACAUAUGUGGAUAAGAAACGUGAUAUGGUUAGUGCAUUAUCAUUGUGGAGACGAGCCAUGGAGGAACGUAAUCAGGAGCCAAAGAUACCCAAAGUAGUGAAUGAGCCUAUUGCGGCCUACGAAUAUGUAUCAGAAGUGACAACAAUUGAGGAUUUAGAAGAGCUGGUUUUGGAUCCGGACGAAAUGCGUAUGCAAGCUUUGGUCAUACGUCAGAGAAUAUUAGGUCCAACACAUCCCGACACAAGUUAUUAUAUACGUUUUAGAGGGGCCCAUUAUGCCGACGCAGGUCGUUUUGACCGUUGUAUUGAUCUUUGGACUUAUGCUUUAACUAUGCAACAAAAAAUCUUACCACCCCUCAGUCCCAUGACACAGUCUUCUCUUUUGUCUUUUGCUGAAUUAUUCAGUUUUAUGUUGAUGGAAGCUGGCCGCUUGCUGCCUCGUGGCCGUGUGGUGCCUCCCAUUGAGGCUUGCGAUAUGCUUAUGAUUUUCAAUAAGGCUGUCUUAGAGGUUGAGAGAGGUUUGUCAAACUAUCAAAUGCUACAAUCCGGUGCAAACGUCUCCUCCUCACUUGCAGGACAAAGUUGGUCGAUGGAACAGCAGAAAAGUGCCACAACCUCAUCGCAGCAACAUCAGACACCGCAGCAAACAUCGACACCGUCUCAACAGCAGUCACAACAGUCUGUUACAAAUGUACACGAUUGCAAUCAUGAUCCCAAUGCUUUAAGUCGUGCUCUUGUUAGUGCUUUACAUAUUGGUUGUCUAUUGGCCUGGUUGGUUGAAGAUGAGACUUUUUGCCCGAAAAUGCGUCGUGAUAUUUUGGUGGCACUUUAUAAAUUAAAUCGUCUUAAUGUGGCGGUACGUUCGGGUCGCACAGCUUUGCAUUAUGCUUGCUAUAGAGAGGGUACUCUUGUUGGCCGGUAUCCGGCUUGUCAGUUUCCUUCUCCAUCUUUGGCUAAGGCUUUAUUAGAGGUUGGUGCCGAUCCCAAUGCAAUCGAUGAUGGUGGUAAUACGCCUUUACAUUUAGCUGCUAUUGCCCAGCCGUGUCAAAAGGAUAUGGCAAAGAUAUUGCUGGAUCAUGGCGCUCAUUUGGAUGCCCGUAAUAAUGCUGGUGACACAUUUGAAUCUCUUAUAAAACCCAAGAAAAUCCAUGAAAUCUGCAAUCCACUCAAAUACACCACAUUGGCCUGUCUAGCAGCGAAAACCAUACAAAAAUACAACAUCAAAUAUGACUCAGUGCCCACAGCUCUACAUAAAUUUAUAGAGAUUCACUAAAUCUUGUCGUUUUUGACUGCAGCUGUAACAAGCAGUAAUAAUUGAAACGAAAGAAAAAAAACAAAAGCAGAGUAGCGAGUGGAGAGUAUAAGCAGCAGCAAUACUUUAUAAGAGGCAGACAUAUUAGGCCACAAUAAUACCAUGUAAAUACCCAUUAAAUAUAAUAAUAAUACUAAAUAAUAUGAAACAGACAUGAAUUUAAAUUUGCUUUAAUGCAAUCUUAAACCAAUUAAAAAAAUACGAUUUAAUAACUAUUGAAUAGAAAAGUAACGACAGCAACAGGACAUUGAUUUGUUUGUUUGUUUCUCGUUAUUUUUAUUUCUCUCUAAACAAAAAAAAUCGUUUUAUAAUGUUUAUCAUCGUUUGUAUUAACUGUAGAUAUUUAAUUAACUCUCUAUCUCUUGGAACUGUUUAUCAUUAGUCUCUACUCUUUAAUAUCUUAAAUUUAAAUUACAAAAAACAUAAACAAAAAACAAACAUAUAAUGUAUUAAACAAAAGUAUAUAAAUAUUUAAUUAUUAAAUUUAGCAAACGCUUUGUGUUUCAAUAGUUUCUAAGUUAGCUAGAGCUCUAGAAUAUGUGUUGAGUCCCUAGUGCACUCUCGAACACAAUCUAUCUACAGGCAUAAAUUGCUAUUUUGUGAAACCGAGUCAAGUCAGCUCUUUCAUAUUUAAAAUCAUAUAAAAUUAUAACGAUAAUAAUAUUUCAAAAACAAAAAAAGUAAAGAAAAUAUUAAAAUAUAUUACACUUGCCUCUCCACUA
rnacentral:misc_RNA from 1 species